rnacentral:rRNA from 1 species
GACGAACGCUGGCGGCGUGCUUAACACAUGCAAGUCGAACGGAAAGGCCCUGCUUUUGUGGGGUGCUCGAGUGGCGAACGGGUGAGUAACACGUGAGUAACCUGCCCUUGACUUUGGGUUAACUUCAGGAAACUGGGGCUAAUACCGGAUAGGAGCUCCUGCUGCAUGGUGGGGGUUGGAAAGUUUCGGCGGUUGGGGAUGGACUCGCGGCUUAUCAGCUUGUUGGUGGGGUAGUGGCUUACCAAGGCUUUGACGGGUAGCCGGCCUGAGAGGGUGACCGGCCACAUUGGGACUGAGAUACGGCCCAGACUCCUACGGGAGGCAGCAGUGGGGAAUAUUGCACAAUGGGCGGAAGCCUGAUGCAGCAACGCCGCGUGCGGGAUGACGGCCUUCGGGUUGUAAACCGCUUUCGCCUGUGACGAAGCGUGAGUGACGGUAAUGGGUAAAGAAGCACCGGCUAACUACGUG